rnacentral:rRNA from 1 species
UCUAUGGCUAAUACAUGCGCAAAUGCCUCCUUCUCUGGAGGGGCUGUGUUUAUUAGAUACAAAACCAACCCACUUUUGUGGAGUCCUGGUGGUUCAUAGUAACCGAACGGAUCGCAUUUGGCUUCGGCCCGCGAUAGAUCUUUCAAGUUUCUGACCUAUCAGCUUUCGACGGUAGGGUAUUGGCCUACCGUGGCAGUGACGGGUAACGGGGAAUUAGGGUUCGAUUCCGGAGAGGGAGCCUGAGAAACGGCUACCACAUCUAAGGAAGGCAGCAGGCGCGCAAAUUACCCAAUGAAAACAGUUUCGAGGUAGUGACGAGAAAUAACGAUACAGGGCAUUUUAUGCUCUGUAAUUGGAAUGAUGGGAAUGUAAAACCCUUCCAGAGUAACAAUUGGAGGGCAAGUCUGGUGCCAGCAGCCGCGGUAAUUCCAGCUCCAAUAGUGUAUAUUAGAGUUGUUGCAGUUAAAAAGCUCGUAGUUGGAUUUCUGCUGUGGUCAUCCGGUACCGCCCGUAGGGGUGCGCACCUGGUUUGGCUGCGGCUUUAUUCCUGUAGCCAUUCGCGCUUAAUUGCGUGUGUUGUGUUGCGGAACUUUUACUUUGAGAAAAAUAGAGUGUUUCAAGCAGGCUUGUCGCCCUGAAUACUUCAGCAUGGAAUAAUAGGAUAGGACCUUGGUUCUAUUUUGUUGGUUUCUAGGACCAAGGUAAUGAUUAAUAGGGACAGUUGGGGGCAUUCGUAUUUAACUGUCAGAGGUGAAAUUCUUAGAUUUGUUAAAGACGAACUACUGCGAAAGCAUUUGCCAAGGAUGUUUUCAUUAAUCAAGAACGACAGUAGGGGGUUUGAAGACGAUUAGAUACCGUCGUAAUCUCUACCAUAAACUAUGCCGACUAGAGAUAGGGAAAUGCCUACCUUGGCUUCUCCUGCACCUCAUGAGAAAUCAAAGUCUCUGGGUUCUGGGGGGAGUAUGGUCGCAAGGCUGAAACUUAAAGGAAUUGACGGAAGGGCACCACCAGGCGUGGAGCCUGCGGCUUAAUUUGACUCGACACGGGGAAACUCACCAGGUCCAGACAUGGGAAGGAUUGACAGAUUGAUAGCUCUUUCUUGAUUCUAUGGGUGGUGGUGCAUGGCCGUUCUUAGUUGGUGGAGUGAUCUGUCUGGUUAAUUUCGAUAACGAACGAGACCUUAGCCUGCUAAAUAGGAUCGGGAACUAUGGUUCUUGUAUCACUUCUUAGAGGGACUUUGCGUGUCUAACGCAAGGAAGUUUGAGGCAAUAACAGGUCUGUGAUGCCCUUAGAUGUUCUGGGCUGCACGCGCGCUACACUGAUGCAUGCAACGAGUUCUUGACCUUGGCCGGAAGGUCUAGGUAAUCUUUUGAGUGUGCAU